rnacentral:rRNA from 1 species
AGAAGGUCCGGCUAACUUCGUGCCAGCAGCCGCGGUAAUACGAAGGGACCUAGCGUAGUUCGGAAUUACUGGGCUUAAAGAGCACGUAGGUGGUUAAGAAAGUUGGUGGUGAAAUCCCAAGGCUUAACCUUGGAACUGCCACCAAAACUUUUUAACUAGAGUAUGAUUGAGGUAAGCGGAAUUUCUAGUGUAGAGGUGAAAUUCGUAGAUAUUAGAAAGAACACCAAUUGCGAAGGCAGCUUUCUGGAUCAUUACUGACACUGAGGUGCGAAAGCAUGGGUAGCGAAGAGGAUUAGAUACCCUCGUAGUCCAUGCCGUAAACGAUGUGUGCUAGACGUUGGGAAUUUAUUUUUCAGUGUCGCAGCAAAAGCGUUAAGCACACCGCCUGGGGAGUACGACCGCAAGGUUAAAACUCAAAUGAAUUGACGGGGACCCGCACAAGUAGUGGAGCAUGUGGUUUAAUUCGAAGAUACGCGCAGAACCUUACCAACACUUGACAUGUUCGUCGCGACUCUAAGAGAUUAGAGUUUUCGGUUCGGCCGGACGAAACACAGGUGCUGCAUGGCUGUCGUCAGCUCGUGUCGUGAGAUGUUGGGUUAAGUCCCGCAACGAGCGCAACCCUUACUUUUAGUUGCUAUCAUUCAGUUGAGCACUCUAAAAGAACUGCCGGUGAUAAGCUGGAGGAAGGUGGGGAUGACGUCAAGUCCUCAUGGCCCUUAUGUGUUGGGCUACACACGUGCUACAAUGGUAUUUACAGUGGGAUGCAAAGAGGCAACUCCUAGCAAACCCUCAAAAAAUACCUCAGUUCGGAUUGUACUCUGCAACUCGAGUACAUGAAGCUGGAAUUACUAGUAAUCGCAGAUCAGCGCGCUGCGGUGAAUACGUUCCCGGGUCUUGUACACACCGCCCGUCACACCAUGGAAGUUGGUUACACCUGAAGGCAAAACGUAAA